CCUACGGGAGGCAGCAGUGAGGAAUAUUGGUCAAUGGACGAGAGUCUGAACCAGCCAAGUAGCGUGAAGGAUGACUGCCCUAUGGGUUGUAAACUUCUUUUAUAUGGGAAUAAAAUGUUCCACGUGUGGGCUUUUGUAUGUACCCUAUGAAUAAGGAUCGGCUAACUCCGUGCCAGCAGCCGCGGUAAUACGGAGGAUCCGAGCGUUAUCCGGAUUUAUUGGGUUUAAAGGGGGCGUAGGUGGAUUGUUAAGUCAGUUGUGAAAGUUUGCGGCUCAACCGUAAAAUUGCAGUUGAAACUGGCAGUCUUGAGUACAGUAGAGGUAGGCGGAAUGCGUGGUGUAGCGGUGAAAUGCUUAGAUAUCACGAAGAACUCCGAUUGCGAAGGCAGCUCACUGGACUGCAACUGACGCUGAGGCUCGAAAGUGUGGGUAUCAAACAGGAUUAGAUACCCCAGUAGUC
rnacentral:rRNA from 1 species